GAAUUUUAUAUGAAUUAUUAUAAAAUAAAAUUAGUAAUUUAUAUUUUAUUGGGAGGAUAAUUAAAUUUAAGUAACUUUAAUGUAGAAAAACUUUGAUUAAUGAAAAGAAAAAGAUGAUUAAUAUAAAAUUAUUAGAGAUUAAAUUACCUUAGGGAUAACAGCAUUAUAUUUUUUUUUAGAUCAUAUAUAAAAAAAUGUUUAU
rnacentral:rRNA from 1 species